rnacentral:lncRNA from 1 species
AGACCCUUCUCUCCCCAUCUCUAAAAUCCAAGACAAUGGAUGUGCAGCAAAACAGAUGCUUUCAUAGUGAAAUACAAGAAGAUGGCAUCAAUGAUAAAUCUUAAAUACAGAUGAAUCUGACAACACCUUAAGGCAUCUCCUUAAGGCAUCUCCAUACUGACAAAUGUUAAUCUUCGAAGAGGAUUGCUGGAUUUAUUUUCUUUAUGUGCUAAGUAUCUAAAAAAUAUAUUUUAUGCAGAGAAACCUGGUUUUGCUUUUUAAAUGCAGCCAUAGUGAAGGUUGUCAGACAUGUCAUGUAUAAUUGUUUGAAGCCAUGCCCCCCAAAAUAUGCAUCUUAUUCUAUUUGAUCUGUGACUGUUGAACAGCUUCUCACUGUGCUUUUAGCAAGGAACUGGUAAGAGCUAUUUUCCAUUAAAGUACAUGUUGGAUAGACGUUGAGGUUAAUGGAAUCAGUUAUAUCAAUUUCAACAAUAUAAAGUGUCCAUUCAAAGGAGGAAUUAUAAACCUAGUCACAAAAAGAACCCCGUAUACUUUUAAUCUGUUUGCACUGAAUUUGUAUCUUAGGGACACGGUAAUAUAUUGAAAACAGUCAAAAACAAUUUAACACGGCGAUUUGAGUCUGUGGCUAUUCAAAAUUGUUCAAGAAGAAAUUUGAGCAUGUAUAUGAUAAUAGUGAUUAUUACUAUAUCUACCUAUGAUUUGUUGACUAUUAUAGUCAUAUUAUUCAUUAUUUCGUAUUAUUCUCUGCUCAAAGACAGUGACUCCACAGUAACUGUCAGAUAACAUUCACAAACUGCUUAUGCGGGCAUAUAAGGCCUUCUAGAUCCAAGCUCUAACGUAUAUAGCCCAAUCUUAUCUUUGUCUAGUUAGUAUUAUGAGAUCUGUGCCUCACAAUGAUUUGUUCCUGAACAAGCUAGUGAUAUUAAUUUCCCACACUGUUUACGGUUUUCCCAAAUCACCACUCACUCCAGGCUGGUUAGAAUGUUCACUGUCUUCUUCAGUGUAAAUCCUACCAAUCAUUCAUCUAUAUGUCAGAACCAUCUUUGGAGUUAGUUUAAAAGAAUCUCAAACCUUUUAAGAAUCAAAAGGAGUGGAUCCAAGAUCUUGGGAUCAGAGCUUAAACUCUUAAUGUUUUAUUCUUCUCACUUGCUAAUCCCCUGUUGCCUUUGAAGAAGCAAGUUGCCAUGUUGUUUGCUGCCAUAUAGAGAGGGCUACAUGGCAAGGAACGGCGGUCAGCCUCCACUUGAUAUCCAACGAGAAACUGAGGGCCUCAGUCUGGACACCUGCAGGAACUGAGUGCUGUCAACAACAGCAUCCUGGCCUUGGAUGACACCUUGAUUGCAGUCUUGCAGAGGAUCCAGCUAAACCAUGCCUAGACUUCAGACUUACAGAAACUGUGAGAUAAACUGUGAAAUAGUUUUAAGCCACUAAAUUUGUGGUAAUAUCAUUACACAGCAAUAGAAAACUAAUACAGAUAUGUGUUGAUUCUGCUAGAUGAAAAGUCUGUCUAUUUUAAUUACGUGUUCCAGAACUGGAAAAGUAAGUAAAAGGUAAAUCUGGGGACACACUGAGCCCACAAUGAGAUGGACUUGAGCUAGAAAUGGACUUGAUUUCCUGACGUCCAUAAAUCCCUACUCUGAAUGUUGGAGCAUAGCAAUGUUCUGCUUUUCCAAAAAUUUGUUUCAGUUGGGAGCCAGAGUUCAGUAAUGCCCAAAAAUAUGAUGCACAAUGAUCUUAGUAAAUGUCCACAGGUGCCUCUGAGAAAGGCUAUGAGAAAGAUUAACAGUAUAAUUUUGGGCAUUAUAGCAGAGUUCUUCCUCAAGGGACCAAGCUUAUAUUUUAUUUAGUGGGAUACCAGUAUGUAAACUGACUCAAGUCUGGGGAUUGGUUAAGUAAGGAACUGUGAAUCCCUGUUUUAGGGAUUCAAGUCAGACUUCUGUUCACUAGACCUAGAACUUGUCUGUCUAUACAGAUCAAAUAAGAGAUUAGUAGUCUGUCCAUCUACUUUAUAUCUGGAAACGCCAUGGUCAACCAGCCAAUGCCAUAGGUCUCUGUGAGUCAGACUUCUAACCAUUGUUUUGAUUCUGCUGUUCAUUAUGAUAACCAGGCUCUCGUGGGAACCUUGUCUUGUCUUUGAAGAUUUAAGUUCCUUCACUUAGCCUUUGCCACUCCAUAGUCCCAUCAUCCCCUUUAAGUUAACUCAGUUUGACAGUAUAAUUUUCCCUUGUAAUUUCUGACCUAGAUUGAAGGGGCCAUAAAGCUAUUCAAGAAUUCUGGGCUCCCAUCACAGCUGUGAUGAAAGAUGUGUCCUCGGGCCCCUGUCAGAUGGGUGAGUAGAUCUUACAGGAUAAAUUCUCUCUAAUAUUCCAGUACCCCUAAGCCUUAGGAUAUCUUGUGCAUGCUAUACCAAAUAUGCAUAUUAUUUAUUGCUGUGUGAUAAUAGUACACAAAAUUAGCAGAUGAAAACAACACAUAUUUAUUAUCUUACAGUUUCUGCAGGUCAGAAGUCUGACGUGGUUUAUCUUAGUCCUCUAAAAGGCUGUAAUCAAGAGGUUGGAUGUGAGGUUGUGGUCUCAGCUGAGGCUCAACUGGAGAAAGGUCCACUUCCUCACUCAUGUGGUUCUUUGUAAAGGCUGUUAUUUCUGUUGACCUCUAAAACAAUGUAGUCUGUGGGAAUCCUGAUCACUGUGAUGCUCUGCAGAACAACAAGUUGGUUCACCAUAUUGAUGAUCUCAUGUUAAUUGGAUCUAAUGAAUAAGGAAGGCUUAAAUGCGUUUCAGUGUCCUAAGAAGACAGUUGUAUACCAGAAUACGGAACAUUAUAUCCCAUGUUAGUGGCUUGCCAUAUCAGUAAAGUCUCUAACCAUUUACUGGUCUGGAGCAACCUUUGACAUCAUCUCUAAUAUAAAGACAAAUUGUAGCACCACAGAUUUCCUAAACCAAAGAAGUAGGCACAGUGCUCGGUAGAAUGGAGGUAUUAUGAAUGUAUCAUAGACUGCUGCUGGGAACAUUUCUUUGACAAAUUAUUGGGUGACUCAGAAGACUCAUGAUUUUGAGUGAGACCCAGAACAAAAGAGAGCACUGCAUGAACCAGCUGAAGUACAUGAAGACCUGCUACUUGGGCCAUCCAAUGCCAACAGAUUCAUUGAUUCUAGAAUAGCCUGUGUUGAGUAGGAAUGCUG